CAGUGGCGAACGGGUGAGUAAUGUAUCGCUAACGUACCCUGGACUCUGGGAUAGCUGCCCGAAAGGGCAGGUAAUACCAGAUGAGACCACGGCACCGCAUGGUGUUGUGCUCAAAGGUCCGCCGGUCUGGGAGCGGGCGAUAUCGUAUCAGCUAGUUGGUGCGGGUAACGGCCCACCAAGGCGACGACGCGUAGCCGGACUGAGAGGUCGGUCGGCCACAUCGGGACUGAGACACUGCCCGGACUCCUACGGGGGGCUGCAGUAACGAAUCUUCCCCAAUGGGCGCAAGCCUGAGGGAGCGACGCCGCGUGGAGGAUGAAGUCCUUCGGGAUGUAAACUCCUGUCAGGGGUUACCAAGUUCUGAGGAGCCCCAAAGGAAGAGCGGCUAACUCUGUGCCAGCAGCCGCGGUAAGACAGAGGCCUCAAGCGUUAGGCGGAAUCACUGGGCUUAAAGCGUGUGUAGGCGGAUCGUUAAGUGCCUUGUGAAAUCCCACGGCUUAACUGUGGAACGGCUGGGCAUACUGGCGGUCUUGAGCCAUCUAGAGGCCACUGGAACUGCCAGUGGAGCGGUGAAAUGCGUAGAUAUCGUUUGGAACGCCAAUGGUGAAAACAGGUCGCUGGGGAUGCGCUGACGCUGAGACACGAAAGCCAGGGGAGCAAACGGGAUUAGAUACCCCGGCAGUCCUGGCCCUAAACGAUGUCCACUAGAUCAUGGUUCCUCUGACGGAUUCAUGGUCGAAGCUUAAGUGCUAAGUGGACCGCCUGGGAAGUACGGUAGCAAGGCUAAAACUCAAAGGAAUUGACGGGGGCUCACACAAGCGGUGGAGCAUGUGGUUCAAUUCGAAGCAACGCGCAGAACCUUACCUGGGCUUGACAUGCUUGGAUUAUCCCUAUGAAAGUAGGGUAGGCCCUUCGGGGUACAACAAGUACAGGUGCUGCAUGGCUGUCGUCAGCUCGUGUCGUGAGAUGUCGGGUUAAGUCCCAUAACGAGCGAAACCUUUGCCCUUAGUUACCAUCAGGUUAUGCUGGGGACUCUAAGGGGACUGCCGGUGUCAAACCGGAGGAAGGUGGAGAUGACGUC
rnacentral:rRNA from 1 species